rnacentral:misc_RNA from 1 species
UGUUCGAGCGUCAUUACAACCCUCAAGCUCUGCUUGGUAUUGGGCUUUGUCUUUACUGACAAGCCUUAAAAUCAGUGGCGGUGCAUCUGGCUCCAAGCGUAGUAAUUUUUCUCGCUUUGGAAUCUUUUGGUUGCUUGCCAACUAACCCCCAAUUUUUUAAGGUUGACCUCGGAUCAGGUAGGGAUACCCGCUGAACUUAA